AAAUCACUUUAAUUUAAUGAAAAAAUUAAUUAAUGAUGAACUAUCAUGGAAUUUUUUAUUAUAUCCAGUUAGUGAUAUUGAACCAUUUUCAAAAGAAAAAUUCAGUUCUCUUUUUGAAAAACAGACGAAUUGGGUGCCAGCAGUCGCGGUCAUACCUAAUGUUAAGAUUUUUUUUAGAUAAUUUUUUUAUAAAAGUAUAUUUUUUUUAGUAAAAUAUAAAAAUUAAAUUUCCUUUUUUUAAAAAUAUUAAAUUAAAUUCUUAAUUAAAAACUAGGAUUAGAUACCCUAUUAUUUCAGAACUCACCAUAUUAUCUAAGCACUAAAAUAUUUUAAUAUUAAAACUUAAAAAUUAUGGCGGUGAAUCAAAUUUUUAGGGGAACUUACCAGAUAAUUGAUAACCCUCAAGUGAUUCAACUUAAACUAACAGCUUAUAUAUUGCCGUUGUGAUUUCUCUUUAAAGAGAAAUUAUCAAUAAUAUUAUUAUUAAUAACAGGUCAUAGUGUAGCAUAUGUUUAAGUCCCCUAAGGUGAGUUACGAUAUUGUUUUUUCCGGAUAAAAAAUCAAUAAUUUUUUUCAAGAAGGACUUAAAAGUAAUACUAAAAUAUAUAAAUUAUGAAUUCUUUUUGAUUCGUGCACAAAUCGCCCGUCAUUCUCCUUAUUUUUUUAAAAAGGAGACAAGUCGUAACAUAGUAGAGGUAACUGAAGUUGUCUCUU
rnacentral:ncRNA from 1 species